UCAUGGGGAUGCGGUCAACCUUCCAGACACGUCACACCGGCAGGUUCGUUUUCUCAGCUUCCAGACAGGAUCAAAAUGGCGCCGUCUGUGGGAACGCGCCUGAUCUGGAACGUGAAGAUGGACGACGUUGGAGAGUUCUGCUAUCCUCAUGACCUAGCUAGUCUCUCGGCCGAGCGUAUCCGAUUCUCCCAUGAGGAAUCCCCGGAGGAUGAAGACCCAGUUGAAGUUAAAAAAGCGGUGAAAGAAGUGAAAAACACGAGAUAGAAGAGGAAAAGAAAGCUGAGGUCAAGUUCAAUGCCCAGACUCUUGAACGAUGGUCUGUGAAGGUUUCCUCCUCGCGGUCCACUAUGGUGAUCCUAUAAUUGUCUCUCUCAAGGAAGAAUGCCCUGUCCUCUCUUCUAACAUGAACACUCGAAGUUGCCCGACAGUUUUUGUUUCAUUUGGAGAUGAGAGAUUCAGUUCUCAACAGGCUAAUUUAGACUCUAAAGUUGUGAAAAAGCCCUCGGAGAAAGAUGAUGCGUUGAAUGGAGGAAGAGAUAAUUGUGUUAGAGAAAGUGUUGAUAGGUACAAAGACCCUAAGCCCUCAAGUUCCUCCAAUGUUGGUAUUGGUUUUUGUGUCUCUUCUAAAAACUCUGACUUGAAACUAGUGCCAGUUCAGUGCCUUUCCCAUGGGAAAGAGAAAUUGACUCCAUGGAGGGUGAUCAGUUGCAAAGGAGCAACACUGAACUAGCAGAGAGAAUUAUACCAGAGCAGGAACCGUAGAGACUGAGAAAUGCUGCUUUAAGAAUAAAAGAGAGGAUGACUGUUGGACCAGCAGGUGUGACUGAGGCUGUUGUGAAACACAUCCAUGAGAAAUGGAAGGAGGUAGAGGUCAUCAAGUUAAGGUUUUGAAGGCCCAACCUGUCUGAACAUGAAGAGGACACAUGAAAUUUUAGAGGGGAAAACUGGAGGUAUGAUCAUUUGGAGGUCUGGAAGGUCAGUUGUGCUAUAUAGGGGAAUGGCUUAUCAACUUCCUUGCAUCCAGACGUACUUGCAGCUUUCUGAUGCCAAUUCUUUCCAUAAUCCUUCAAUGGGAAACUGUUCCAAUCUUAUUGCUGGCAAUCAAGCAGAAACUUUUGAAACUGAUUCUGCCAUGAAUCAAAACCUGUCUAAAGGAUUUUCAUCAACAGCUUAUAUUGACAGAUUAUUGGAUCAGUUGGGGCCACGUUUCAAAGAUUGGUCAGGUCGUAAUCCAAUUCCAGUUGAUGCUGACUUGCUGCUUGGUCUAGUUCCCGGUUACAAACCACCUUUUAGACUUCUUCCUUAAUUAUAAGACCAGAACAUCUCUAAGAGAUAGAGAAAUGACGGUUUUGAGAAGGCUCGCUAGAACAAUGCCCCCUCACUUUGUUCUAGGAGGAAACAGGCAACACCAAGGCUUGGCUACUGCUAGCAAAGAUAGCCAUCAAACGCGGCAUACCAAACACGUCUAAUGGGAGAAUAGCUGAAGAAAUUAAGGUGGAGAGUGAGUAUGAUAUGAUUUAUAUUGGUUUUUUUUUUUUUGUUUACUCUCCCUUACGAUUAUGAAUUGAUUAGUUUGAAAAGUCAAUUUGCUAUUCCUUCAAGACCUUGUGAUCAAUAUUUUUCCUUUCACUGGUUCUUUUUCAAAUGCUGUUGAAGAGUUUACCUUUCUCUUUUCCUCUGU